rnacentral:rRNA from 1 species
UACAGAGGUCUCGAGCGUUAGGCGGAAUCACUGGGCUUAAAGCGUGUGUAGGCGGAUCGGUAAGUACCUUGUGAAAUCCCACAGCUUAACUGUGGAACUGCUUGGUAUACUGCCAGUCUUGAGCCACUUAGGGGCUACCGGAACAAAUGGUGGAGCGGUGAAAUGCGUAGAUAUCAUUUGGAACGCCAAUGGUGAAGACAGGUAGCUGGGAGUGUGCUGACGCUGAGACACGAAAGCCAGGGGGAGCAAAACGGG